rnacentral:rRNA from 1 species
UACGGAGGGUGCGAGCGUUGUCCGGAAUCACUGGGCGUAAAGGGCGCGUAGGUGGCGCGGGCAGUCAACGGUGAAAGUUCGGGGCUCAACCCUGAAUCGGCCGUCGAUACUCCCGUGCUUGAGCACUGUAGAGGCAGAUGGAAUUCCGAGUGUAGCGGUGGAAUGCGUAGAGAUCCGGAAGAACACCGGUGGCGAAGGCGGUCUGCUGGGCAGUAGCUGACACUGAGGCGCGACAGCGUGGGGAGCAAACAGG